CGGAAGGAGAGAGAAGUUGCGACCCGGAGCCAGACACCUGAUGCUGGUGUAUGAGUUCCCAGAAUGCAGAGAGCAGUUGUUCCCAUGCUCUGAGCAUUCAGAGAUUAUGCAGCCACAACCAUGCCUUUGAUACGCAUAAUUCAAGGGGAGCAGACACAAGCCAGUGGUUGCAGUAUCGUCACUCGAGUGUUCUGUAAACGAUUUAUCAGCAGGUCGAGCUGAACAUGGACAUGAGUUUCAGACUUUCUUCUUGAGUGAAUUCUGCACCUGAAAAGCUCUUAUACAGAACCACGAACUCCCCCUGCAUCAGAAUUGUGCAGAAAGAGGAAAUCUGAAGCCAGUGUUACUCAUUUGGAGUAAAGACAUUUGAAAUGGGAGCCCUGCAGGCCUUCAUGAGAAACAGGCUUUCUGUAUAACCUGAACCAGGACUCCAUGACAUUCAGUUCUUAAACUUACACCCAAGCCGGAGGCUGUGGUCACCUGGCUGCCCCAGGCUCCUUCAAAAGACAGUAUUGAUAAUACCGAUCUUUAUGCCAUGGCGCGUGUAUAUGGAUGGGGCCUUCCAUGGGGAAUGUGGGCACGGACACUGAGGAGUUACCAGCUUUCAGAUCCUCAGUAGGCUUUCAUCGCUUGGGAAUUUGGUAAGACCUCCAGGAGACUAGAUGAAAGGAUAGUCUCAAGUCUCGGUGUCGAUGCUGAGAGUGAGUGACAUUAAUGAAUGGGUAAGAACAUUUUUUUUUCAAGGUAAGUGCUUUCCAGCUCUCUGCUUCCAACAAAAUUGCAAGAGGAUCUAAUUAAGUUGUCAGCUGAUACGUUAUUUAAGACAAAUGUUCAUGGUAGGUCAUUAUAUAAUUUUGGCAUACAUUUCAGAAAGAGCAGGCAGAAUGGAAUGGCAUUAUUAUAAAUUGCUUCCCUUCCUAUCUACUUACGCAGAUGUAUGAUCACUCUGUGCUUGCAUGGACAAGAUGUAAAAAAAUACAAACUCUCAUUCCUGUUACAUUCUAGAAGGUGGUAUUUUCAACUUUGGGUUUGAGUUUUUUUAAAAAAACAAAUCAAGUCCCACUCGCUCAUUAAAAGAUGCAUUUUGGGGCUGGAGAGAUGGCCCGGUGAGUAAAGCGCCUGCCACAGGAGCACGGGGACUGGAGCUCAUUCAGGUCAGGUAAGAACCGGAAGCAGUUACAAGUCUCUGUAACCCAGCACUGGGGGGUGGCAAAGGGACAGAGACGGGCGGAUCUCUGGAGCUCAGUCAUCAGCCAGCCUGACCCAGUUGAUGAGCGCCAGCUUCGGUGACAGGCUUUGUCUCAAAAAAUGAGGGGGAAGCAAUCAAUGAAGGAACCUGACACCAACAUCUGGCCUUACACACUCAUGCCUAUGUGUGCCCUUGCUCUUAUAAACACCCACCCACCCCCACAUGUUUCCAUUUUAUUUUUAAAUUAUUUGCCAAAAUUUGUAAUGUCAAGUAUUAGUGAGACCUUAUUUUCCUGCAGUAGGAACGUCUGGUUAGCUGAGCAUUCAGACAUGCAGGACUGAGAAAACAACUCACAGCCUCUUAGAAAAGACUGAGUGGUUCUGUUGAGAAUCCUCCACUACAAUGAGGAGUAAACUGAGCCAGGAUGGAUUGUGGUGAGGGGGACUGAGGUUAAGUUUCCAAGUCUUGGAGGCAGUUUUGGCCUUGGAAACCACUGAAGGGAGAAAUGGACUUAGACACAGGUGAGGUGCACGGCAGCCUGGAGGUGCAGCUGAUCUCUCAAAGACUUGGUAUGUCAAAGCAUGUUUUAUGUUAGAAAUGUCAUUUGUUGAUCAUCUAUGAUACUGUCUCCAAAAGAUAUGCACAUAGGAUUUGGGACCUAAUUUUCUUAUAAUCACAAGUCUCUAAAUAGUAAGCUCGUUCUUCUACUGAAUCAAGUUACCAACAUAAUUUCUAGUUGAAUACUUGCUGUGAGCUCUGAUUCAUGGGGACAGGGGAGAAUGAAGAAGAGGGCCUGUCAUCUGAAAAUGAACCCCCGAGAGGAUGAGCACCGAGCCCUGCUCCAGGGGCCACAUCUCAGACAACAGCAGCAGCAGCAGCAGCAAGUCGAGGUUAGCCUGUAGUCACCCCACCUGGGCCCCUGGCUUUCAGGGCAGUGGAGGAUGACCGGGAAGUCCUCACUCUCAGGGGGAUCCUGGGACUCUUUGCCAGCCCUGCAGGUAUCACCGUGUGCCUGGACUAUAGUGUUGGGGGUCUCAUCCAUUGCUUCGGCACUGGCUGUGCCUGGGGCUGGCAAAGUGUGGAUGCCACAGAACAGGACACCACCAGGUGCUAGACACAAGGCACGAGACACCGGUCCUGCUCUUGAGAUGACCCAGACAAUCAAGCGAUUAUCACGCCAUCUGAGGCUGGGGCCUGACUUCUCAGAGAUGCUUCCUUCACUCUCUCCUGGUACCCCAGGUCUCUUCUCCCCUUAAGAUUUAAGUCCCAUAGACUAAAAUCACAGUUUCUCCCUGAGGCUCCAAUAUCACACCUUAGUGUUGCUCUGUAGGCAGAAUUUUUCUUCGAAGCCAUCUUUUCUCCAGUCUUCUGACUGUGGUGCUGGGUAUCUGCCUGACAUAGGCACUUAGAUGUGUAGGCAGCCAUCUUGAAGGCUCAGUCACAGGCCGGUCUCAGCUCUUCUGGGCCCUGACGCAGUCCCCAUCUCCUAGUGUUUCACUCUCAAGUGACAGCACACACCUUUGCUAGCAGACUUCUAUGCUCCUUUGACCCCUUUCAGUAUCUCCCGGUUAAAUCUCACCCAGGGUCUUCCUGUUGAGAGCUUCCUUCUUCCUUCUCUGCCUCUCCUCAGCCACCUACCUCCCCUACCCAGCCAGUGCCUGCCUCAUCCUUCAUGAAGACCAGCUGUAAUGAUUUCAGCCACAUAAGACCGAUACUUCCGGGUUCUAGGAGUCGUGCAGAGGUCUUGACCAGAAACACUUGCAACUCGAAGAUAGAGCUCAAAGUACCACAUCGAGGUGUGGAGAAGAUUCCAACAAGACCGGCAUUCCAUAACUCACAAGCUAAUAAGAGCGCAACCUUCCUCGCCAGCAUCUGCUCUCUGAGUGUGAAUGUCACCUGGUCUGCGUGCUCAGCAGUGAAGCACGAAUCCCUCAGCACAACCCCCAGCACACAGGUCCCCUCGGCUCCUGCGCUUCUUAAGUCUCUUGAUGGAGUCAGAACGGGGGGCACUGACCACAAAUUACCAUUUUAUAAUGCCUGAAAUAGGGCAGUGAAGCAAUAAACCAAUAAACAGUCUACACUGCACGAAAUAUUGGAGACUCUUCCUCUCUCUGCACGUGGGCUGCAGCGCUGGCUCAGCUCUUAAUCAUGCUUGCUGAUCUUGCAGAGGAUCCAAGUUUGAUUCCUGCCACACACACCAGGCUGCUCUCACUGCUUGGGACUCCAGCUUGACCAGGUUCUGACACCUUUGGCCUGCACUCAUGUACAUACCCACACGCACACACACACAUCAACAUAUCACUGAAAAAUUUCUUUACAAAGAAGACAUUCAUUUAAGCCUUAUGUGUGAGAUGUGUCUUAGAUGAUUUAAUUGGAAAAAAAAUCUCCUUGCUUUUUUUUUUUUUUUCUUUUAACCUUCUAGGGAGCUUGGGCACAUCUGAGAAUCUACUGAAAAUAAUUCCCUAGGGGUGACACCGUAACGGGACGGACAUCAUCCUGCCUGUAAUAAGUGCUCGUCUGCACAGCUCCUAGCGAACCCCCAAGUGCAGCUAAAGAAAAUUUGCCUUUCAAUGUUAGCUGUAUAGGACGGCAGAGGUGGUUCUGACCAGUUUCCCAGGCCCAGCGCAGACCCCAAGCUUUCCUCAAGGACAGGCUGCCUACAGCUCACGCGGAAAACAUCAAUGUUUGAAUCAAAGCGUGGAGAUAACGAAUUUUGAGAAGGCAUUGGCAGAUUCCAAUUUAAAAGCAUUUAUCAACACAAUACCGUAGCCAGAGCUCCAAAGCGUUCUAGUAAAUGGGCCCCGCACUUAAAACACCUGACAGACACCGGUCAAGAAUCGUCAGCUUCUCCCAGGUUUUAAGAGACAUUUCAUGCCUGUUACCAUCUUCAGGCAAUGUGAAUCCUUGCAGACUCAAGAAGGCACGGAAAACAUUGCCCCGUCCGGUGCAGUUUCGUAGCGUCCUCUGACAGCCCUUCCCAGCUAAGGGAAGGACGGUGCACUAACACAGCGACUGUUAGCCAGCGAGAUAAUAUGGUUUACACACAAAAUACAAUUACCCCCAAACUCGCCUGCUCAUCUAGGGGCCCAUACACGUGUCCUUUAACUCCGAGGUCCUAGGUUUCUGCUGGAAAACUGGAUUUCUCUGUUCAGCCAGCUCCCCUUCCUGGUGACCUCUGGCUGCUCUGCAGGCUGGCCUUGCCUAGUCCACCCUGCGAAGUGGGGUGCCAAAGCUGGAUGGUAAUAUGAGCUAGCUCCCACCACAAAUAGCAACAGGGCUGCUGUGAGUGGCAGUCCAAAUAUAGACCUGCCACAGCAGCCUGGCCACUGCCUACCGCUCCAGUGUCACCAGGAGCAGUCACAUGCUGUGCUCUGAAGGACUUCAUUUACCGUGGGGGUGGAGACCCAGGACUCAGAUGGCUGGUCAUGUGUAGAGGGCUAGAGUUGCUAUGGCCAGGCCAGAAUGGAAAUGCCUGUGAGUCCUGAGACUGUGUGACUUCCACCUGGGUUUUCUCAAAGUAUUUUGUGUACAUAACUCUCCCAUCAUCCUUUGCAGUUUGGGAAGCGUUCCCCUCUCUCUGAAUGAAGAACUAGUAAAGCCUGUGAUUUCUGUUCUUUCUUAA